AGAACUGGCGAUGCGGGAU
rnacentral:snRNA from 1 species